rnacentral:rRNA from 1 species
AUGGCGACGCGACGCGCGCCUCCGCAGCUGAUCGACGACGUCACGGACGAGGUCCUCCUCCGCCUCCUGCCGGACGAGCCGGAGCACCUCUUCCGCGCGGCGCUCGUCUGCAAGCGGUGGCUCCGCAUCAUCUGCGACCCGGGCUUCCUCCGCCGCUACCGCGCCUCCCACGGCGCCCCUCCCCUCCUCGGCCUCCUCCACAGGCUCCAGGCGAUCGAAGGUCCCCCGCCCGCCCGCUUCGCCUCCACCACCUCCAUGCCGGACUUCCCCCACCCGGGCGGGCUCCGACGGGCCCUCGACUGCCGCCACGGCCGCGUCCUCGUCCACACGGCGGAGGACGACGGCGUCGACUUCCUCGUCUGGAUCCCCAUCACGGGCCACCGCCGCGCCGUGCACGGGCCGGACAUCGACUGGUUCUGCCUCAUCGAGUCCGCGGUGCUGCUCUGCGCCGCCCACGGCUGCGACCACCUCGACUGCCACGGCGGGGGCCCCUUCCGCGUCGUCUUCGCCGCCACCCCUGAGUGCAAGGACACCGUGUUCGCGAGCAUGUACUCGUCGGAGGCGGAUGAGUGGAGCGUGCCAGUAUGCCUCGACAGCGGCUGUGAAUCCUUUGUCCGGUACAUGGAGCGAGAGAGACUCGCAGACCACUACUACCACACACCCUAUCUCCAGCCUAGGCGAGGCGCCGUCGUCGGAGAUGGAGUCUACUUCACGCUUAGCCGGGGCAACGCCAUCGUCAAGUAUGAUCUGGGCAAGAAUCGCCUGUCCAUUGUCGACCCACCGUGCCGGGACGUGUACGAGGUUGCCCUCAUGGCCAUGGAGGACACUUCACUUGGCUUUGCCUGCCUCCAGGGCUCCAGCCUUUAUGUGUGGUCAAGGAAGGUGGAUGCUGAAGAACCUGCAGAGUGGGUACAGUGCAGGGUCAUCGAGCUAGAGAAAAUUAUACCUGUUGCCGAUCACGAGAAGGCGUCAAUUGUUGUUGGGUCUGCAGAGGGUGUGGGUGUCAUCUUCGUUAGCACGGAUUUUGGCUUGUUUAUGAUCAACCUCAAUUCCGGGCAGCCUAAGAAGGUUGACGAGCCUGGGGUCUACUUCAGCGUCCUACCCUACAUGAGCUUCUACACUCCAGAUCGUGGCAAAAUGUUGUCGCUGGCGAGGACUAACUGA